AAGUAGUACAGGUAUAGUUGAAAUUUAAUAGUACACGCCUUGUACUACAAAGUACAAUUUAUUCCCGUACAUAUAGAAUGAUCACCAUUGGAUCUUAUUGCAUCAUUCUUUCACUCACAAAUGAAAUAGUUGAGGCACCCUUGUAGAGGAACCUGCUUAUUGUUAGGGAUCUGUUGACAAUAAGGUCAACGAUGAGAGGCAGAGAAAAGAGAAGGGUGGCAAGGGGAGAGAGGGAGAGCGAGAGAGGCGAAGAGUGCUAGAAGCAAGUGGCAGCGAUUGAGGAUGUGCAAAAAGCAGAGGUCCAAAGAGAUCGAGAGAGUUAGAGAGGGAAAGAUUGAGAAUGGAGACAGAAGGAGGAAAAUCGCAGAGGUCUAGAUCUGUGUGAUGAGGAAGAAGGCAGAACAGAGACACAUCGAAUUUAUACAGUUGUCUUUACCUGAAAUUUCUAAUUAAAAUUUUUUUAGAUAAUUUAAUAUAUUUAACUAAAUUAUUA